GACGAACCGUGCGAACGUUAUUCGGAAUCACUGGGCUUAAAGCGCGUGUAGGCGGAAGGGCACGUCCGUUGCUGAAAUCCCCCGGCUCAACCGGGGAACAGGCGCGGAUACGACUCUUCUGGAAGGGCGUAGGGGGACCUGGAACUUCCGGUGGAGCGGUGAAAUGCGUUGAGAUCGGAAGGAACGCCCGUGGCGAAAGCGAGGUCCUGGACGCCUACUGACGCUGAGACGCGAAAGCCAGGGGAGCGAACGGG
rnacentral:rRNA from 1 species